rnacentral:rRNA from 1 species
ACUGAACGCUGGCGGCAGGCUUAACACAUGCAAGUCGAGCGGGGUGAUGGUGCUUGCACUAUCACUUAGCGGCGGACGGGUGAGUAAUGCUUAGGAAUCUGCCUAUUAGUGGGGGACAACAUCUCGAAAGGGAUGCUAAUACCGCAUACGUCCUACGGGAGAAAGCAGGGGAUCACUUGUGACCUUGCGCUAAUAGAUGAGCCUAAGUCGGAUUAGCUAGUUGGUGGGGUAAAGGCCUACCAAGGCGACGAUCUGUAGCGGGUCUGAGAGGAGGAUCGGGCACACUGGGACUGAGACACGGCCCAGAUGCCUACGGGAGGCAGCAGUGGGGAAUAUUGGACAAUGGGGGGAACCCUGAUCCAGCCAUGCCGCGUGUGUGAAGAAGGCCUUAUGGUUGUAAAGCACUUUAAGCGAGGAGGAGGCUCUUUUGGUUAAUACCCAAGAUGAGUGGACGUUACUCGCAGAAUAAGCACCGGCUAACUCUGUGCCAGCAGCCGCAGUAA